UACGUAGGUGGCAAGCGUUGUCUGGAUUUAUUGGGUUUAAAGGGUGCGUAGGCGGCUUAUUAAGUCAGUGGUGAAAUACUCCAGCUUAACUGGAGGGGUGCCAUUGAUACUGAUGAGCUUGAGUACAGACGAGGUAGGCGGAAUUGACGGUGUAGCGGUGAAAUGCUUAGAUAUCGUCAAGAACACCUAUAGCGAAGGCAGCUUACUAGGCUGUAACUGACGCUGAGGCACGAAAGUGUGGGGAUCAAACAGG
rnacentral:rRNA from 1 species